GUUUUUUCGGGGCGUUGCCUGUUGAGACGCUCUCUCUCUCUCUCUCUCUCUCUCUCAGGGUUUGUCGCUCUCGAUCCUCUGCGAAAAUGGUGAAAUACGCCUGAAAUUGUAUCCGAUCUGUGAGAAAACGCCCCGUGAUUCCUCUCCGAUCGUGUCUGAUCUUGAAGCUGUUCAUUUCAAGCUCAAUUUCAAUCUACGAACCCUUGGGGCAGAAGAAAAACAGACGAUUUUCACAUUUCAUGAGUAUCUAGGGCUUUUUUUUUGUCGUUUUGAGUCCAAGAGCUGAAAAUAACAGGGUUUCAUGGGAAUUGGCGAGGUGGAUGUUGAUAUAUUAAUGUAUGAGAAGAGAAAGGGAUUGAAUUGCAGGAAUGGAGGGGAAAAUCUAGGGUUUGUUGGGUUUAGGAUUUCUUUCAACUAGGUGAAGAGGUGUUGAGAUCUAGGUUUUUUUUUUUUUUCCUGGUAUUUAUCUGUUUUGGUUUGUAUGAGGAAUUCGUAUUAAUUGUGAUGGACAUGGAACUCGUGGGAGACGUGGCGUCACUUGACCCGGAGUUGUUGCAGCUGGCGGAGGUUUCUCCGUUCGCUCUCAAGUCGAACCCGAACAUUGCCGAUGGGCUGUUCUCACAGUGGCUUUCGCUUCCGGACACCAGUCGAUUGGUAAAAACCUUGCUUGAUGAUGCCAAGUCAGGUGCACCUUUGAAUAUUCUUGGGAACCCUACUAGUACAAAUGCAGCUACAAGCAAUUUGUUGCCUUCCAUGUUUCCUGCUGGGGGUACACCUCCACUUUCUCCAAGAAGUACUUCUGGUUCCCCACGUGUUGUGAAACGUGCAGGGGCAGGGCCUUCUAAUUUAGGUUCUCCACUAAAAUUAGUCAGUGAACCAAUGAGAGAAGUCAUACCUCAGUUCUAUUUCCAGAAUGGUCGUCCACCUUCAAAUGAUUUGAAAGAGCAAUGUUUGUCUAGAAUUGACCAGCUUUUCUUUGGUCACUCUGAUGGUCUGCAAGUUCAAGAAUUUAAAUCUGUCACAAGGGAAAUUUGCAAGCUGCCGUCGUUUUUCUCCACCACCCUUUUCAGAAAGAUUGAUGCUGGUUGUGUUGGGAUGGUGACAAGGGAUGCAUUUAUUGAUUAUUGGGUUAAUGGCAAUAUGAUGAUGAUGGAUAUAGCCACCCAAAUAUUUACAAUAUUAAAGCAACCAGAUCAGAAGUACCUUACACAGGAAGACUUUAAACCUGUUCUUCGAGAACUUUUGGCGACUCACCCAGGGUUGGAGUUCUUGCAAAGCACGCCUGAGUUUCAGGAACGAUAUGCUGAAACUGUCAUAUACAGAAUAUUUUACUAUGUGAAUAGAGCGGCAAAUGACCGUCUCACCCUCAGGGAGCUGAAACGUGGAAAUCUAAUUGCUGCAAUGCAACAUGCAGAUGAAGAGGAGGAUAUUAACAAAGUCUUGAGGUACUUCUCUUAUGAACACUUUUAUGUGAUAUACUGCAAGUUUUGGGAGCUGGAUACGGAUCACGACUUCUUGAUCGAUAAGGAGAACCUUAUUAAAUAUGGUAACCACUCUCUUACUUACAGGAUCGUCGAGAGAAUAUUUUCACAGGUCCCAAAAAAGUUCACUAGCAAGGUCGAAGGGAAGAUGGGCUAUGAGGAUUUUGUUUACUUCAUGCUGUCUGAGGAGGAUAAAUCAUCAGAGCCCGGUCUUGAGUAUUGGUUCAAAUGUAUAGAUUUGGAUGGAAAUUUAGUACUCACGCCCAAUGAAAUGCAGUUCUUCUAUGAGGAGCAGUUGCAUCGUAUGGAAUGCAUGGCCCAGGAACCUGUGCUCUUUGAGGAUAUUUUAUGCCAAAUGGUUGACAUGAUUGGACCAGAGAAAGAGUCCCAUUUUACUCUACGUGACCUAAAAGGCUGCAAACUUUCAGGAAAUGUUUUCAAUAUCCUUUUCAAUCUGAAUAAGUUCAUGGCUUUUGAAAGUCGUGAUCCAUUUCUCAUUCGCCAGGAAAGGGAGGAUCCUACCUUGACAGAGUGGGACCGGUUUGCCCAUAGAGAAUAUAUUAGACUUUCCAUGGAAGAAGAUGGUGAAGAUGCCUCCAAUGGAAGUGCAGAAGUGUGGGAUGAGUCGCUUGAGGCUCCUUUUUGAAUUUCAACAACCAGUUCCCAAACUUCUAGAAGCAGUUUUGAUGGUUAUGCCAGUUCAGACGGCCACCAAAGUUGCGGAAGCUAGCAUACCAACAUUGUCGCUGCCCAAUGCAGUACAAAUAUGAAUCGAUCAUGUGCCUAAAGAAGCUAGGAUGCUUACUUAAGCCAGUCAUUAAAAGCAACAAUGGGCGUCAAGUGUAUAUGCUUCUUAGAUGAACUAUGCAGCAUCUUGUGACCUCAUCCAUGAUAAGUUCCUUGCUACUCCAUGCAAAAUCAAUCUUCGUCAUGUCUAUUUCUCCGCCAGGCAGGAAUCUGGCCAUUGUGCAAGUGAAGGCGAGCGGUGUUCCUGAUUACUGCAUUGAAAUUCUUUGUUAACGAUGCUGGAUGCCUCAGCAAGGAGGGCAGUCCCUGAUCUGUGUUUAAAUCAUCAACCAGAACGAGGUAACAUAGUUUCAGAAUAUUUGCCAAUUCUUUUUAUAAAGAAAAUCAGUUCCAUGUUUGGUUGCUUUCUUCUCUUGUUCGUUCUGCAUGGCAACUCAUGGAAGUAUGGGGAGCAUGUUUGUCUUUAUCCGCGAGCCUCAGCCAUGGCUGGUUGCUUUCUUCUUCUGCUUGUGGUCCACAGCUAGGAUGCUGUCUGUUUAUUGGAUUUUGUCAGGAAGGGGGAAAAAAAAUUAGGUAGUGUAUGGUUUCUUCUUGUUUCCUGAUAAAUACUGACAUAUUGUUGAUAAUUGGGCUUAUUCAAGGUGGGCCCCUUCAAUACUGGAUGAGCCAGUCCUGUUGUGUACAUUACUUUUUGCGUGCCUUAAACAGACUCAGCUUCACCUGUUUUCAUA